GCGCCCGUAGCUCAGUAGGACAGAGCGGCCGCUUCCUAAGCGGCAGGCCGCAGGUUCGAGUCCUGCCGGGCGCA
rnacentral:tRNA from 2 species